UACGAAGGGUGCAAGCGUUACUCGGAAUUACUGGGCGUAAAGCGUGCGCAGGCGGUUAUGCAAGACAGAUGUGAAAUCCCCGGGCUCAACCUGGGAACUGCAUUUGUGACUGCAUGGCUAGAGUGCGGCAGAGGGGGAUGGAAUUCCGCGUGUAGCAGUGAAAUGCGUAGAUAUGCGGAGGAACACCGAUGGCGAAGGCAAUCCCCUGGGCCUGCACUGACGCUCAUGCACGAAAGCGUGGGGAGCAAACAGG
rnacentral:rRNA from 1 species